rnacentral:rRNA from 1 species
CCUACGGGAGGCAGCAGUGAGGAAUAUUGGUCAAUGGACGCAAGUCUGAACCAGCCAUGCCGCGUGCAGGAAGACGGCUCUAUGAGUUGUAAACUGCUUUUGUACGAGGGUAAACGCAGAUACGCGUAUCUGUCUGAAAGUAUCGUACGAAUAAGGAUCGGCUAACUCCGUGCCAGCAGCCGCGGUAAUACGGAGGAUUCAAGCGUUAUCCGGAUUUAUUGGGUUUAAAGGGUGCGUAGGCGGUCGGAUAAGUUAGAGGGGAAAUCCCCAGGCUCAACUUCGGAAUUGCCUCUGAUACUGUUCGGCUAGAGAGUAGUUGCGGUAGGCGGAAUGUAUGGUGUAGCGGUGAAAUGCUUAGAGAUCAUACAGAACACCGAUUGCGAAGGCAGCUUACCAAGCUACUUCUGACGUUGAGGCACGAAAGCGUGGGGAGCAAACAGGAUUAGAUACCCGGGUAGUC